rnacentral:rRNA from 1 species
GCCAGACUCCUACGGGAGGCAGCAGUGGGGAAUAUUGCACAAUGGGCGCAAGCCUGAUGCAGCCAUGCCGCGUGUAUGAAGAAGGCCUUCGGGUUGUAAAGUACUUUCAGCGGGGAGGAAGGUGUUGUGGUUAAUAACCACAGCAAUUGACGUUACCCGCAGAAGAAGCACCGGCUAACUCCGUGCCAGCAGCCGCAGUAAUACGGAGGGUGCAAGCGUUAAUCGGAAUUACUGGGCGUAAAGCGCACGCAGGCGGUCUGUCAAGUCGGAUGUGAAAUCCCCGGGCUCAACCUGGGAACUGCAUUCGAAACUGGCAGGCUGGAGUCUUGUAGAGGGGGGUAGAAUUCCAGGUGUAGCGGUGAAAUGCGUAGAGAUCUGGAGGAAUACCGGUGGCGAAGGCGGCCCCCUGGGACGCAACUGACGCUCAUACACGAAAGCGUGGGGAGCAAACAGGAUUAGAUACCCCGGUA